UGGUGGUGUCCCCUGAGACCAGGUUUAGGGAGGUCCUGCUCUCAGCUGGCCCCUUGGCAGAGUUUCCCCUGUCAGGACCAAUUCUGAGACUGCCACCAAGUAGGGAACGCUCUAGCAGGUGUCGUUCUACGUUUACCCUUAGGCUCAGUGCUACAGAAAAUCCCCUGCUCGCUCCCUCUGCGUGCUGCUUUUAUAUUUGUUUAAACAAACAAGAAAAGUUACUGGUUUUCACCUGUGUAACCAGAGGAUGGAUUUGUUGCUAUUUUUCAGACUCCGGGUCAAGAACUUCCGUGAGCAUAAGCCCUCAAGAACACAAACUUAAGUGUGUUUAUUCGAACCGGCCGAUAGUUCUGAGACGUGAAGAUUUUCCAACAGUGAAAAAUUGUUCCACGUUUACUGUGCAUUUCAAAAAUAAAGUUCAUCUGCUUCC
rnacentral:lncRNA from 1 species